AAUAUUUCCAGGCAUGAUUGAGUAUGCCAACCACAUAGGCUUGAAUCUUUCGGUGAACCAGCCUUCAAUGGAGGCAAUGUUUCUUAAGCGAGACUUGGAAACUAAAAGUUUGAAGGAUAAAACAAGCAAUCUAGCAUAUUUUGCAGAAGGGUUAACUCAGUCAUGCGAUUGGAAAGAGAUAAUGAAAUAUCAAAGGAUGAACGGAUCACUCUUCAACUCACCAUCUACAACUGCAGCUACUUUUAUCUACCUUCACGAUGGAAAAUGCUUCGAAUACUUAGAUACGCUAGUGAAAAAUUUUGAAAAUGCAG
rnacentral:misc_RNA from 1 species